rnacentral:rRNA from 1 species
GUUAGCGGCGGACGGGUGAGUAACACGUGGGUAACCUGCCUGUAAGACUGGGAUAACUCCGGGAAACCGGGGCUAAUACCGGAUGGUUGUCUGAACCGCAUGGUUCAGACAUAAAAGGUGGCUUCGGCUACCACUUACAGAUGGACCCGCGGCGCAUUAGCUAGUUGGUGAGGUAACGGCUCACCAAGGCGACGAUGCGUAGCCGACCUGAGAGGGUGAUCGGCCACACUGGGACUGAGACACGGCCCAGACUCCUACGGGAGGCAGCAGUAGGGAAUCUUCCGCAAUGGACGAAAGUCUGACGGAGCAACGCCGCGUGAGUGAUGAAGGUUUUCGGAUCGUAAAGCUCUGUUGUUAGGGAAGAACAAGUGCCGUUCAAAUAGGGCGGCACCUUGACGGUACCUAACCAGAAAGCCACGGCUAACUACGUGCCAGCAGCCGCGGUAAUACGUAGGUGGCAAGCGUUGUCCGGAAUUAUUGGGCGUAAAGGGCUCGCAGGCGGUUUCUUAAGUCUGAUGUGAAAGCCCCCGGCUCAACCGGGGAGGGUCAUUGGAAACUGGGGGAACUUGAGUGCAGAAGAGGAGAGUGGAAUUCCACGUGUAGCGGUGAAAUGCGUAGAGAUGUGGAGGAACACCAGUGGCGAAGGCGACUCUCUGGUCUGUAACUGACGCUGAGGAGCGAAAGCGUGGGGAGCGAACAGGAUUAGAUACCCUGGUAGUCCACGCCGUAACGAUGAGUGCUAAGUGUUAGGGGGUUU